rnacentral:rRNA from 1 species
UACGUAGGUGGCGAGCGUUGUCCGGAUUUACUGGGCGUAAAGGAUGCGUAGGCGGAUAUUUAAGUGAGAUGUGAAAUACCCGAGCUUAACUUGGGUGCUGCAUUUCAAACUGGAUAUCUAGAGUGUGGGAGAGGAGAAUGGAAUUCCUAGUGUAGCGGUGAAAUGCGUAGAGAUUAGGAAGAACACCAGUGGCGAAGGCGAUUCUCUGGACCAUAACUGACGCUGAGGCACGAAAGCGUGGGGAGCAAACAGG